UACGAAGGGGGCUAGCGUUGCUCGGAAUUACUGGGCGUAAAGCGCACGUAGGCGGAUCGUUAAGUCGGGGGUGAAAUCCUGGAGCUCAACUCCCAGAACUAGCCUUCGAUACUGGCGAUCUCGAGUUCGGGAGAGGUGAGUGGAACUGCGAGUGUAAGAGGUGAAAUUCGUAGAUAUUCGCAAGAACACCAGUGGCGAAGGCGGCUCACUGGCCCGAUACUGACGCUGAGGUGCGAAAGCGUGGGGAGCAAACAGG
rnacentral:rRNA from 1 species